rnacentral:snoRNA from 1 species
AAGCUCGAUGAUGAAGACAUCACCUCAUACAUACUGGCGGGACUCGAUGCUGAGUUCAACCCGCUGGUGUCUGCCAUUGCUGUAAGGGUGGAACCGAUUACUCUCUCUGAGCUCUUCACCCAGAUGACAAGUUUUGAGC